AAUUUUGGACAAUGGGGGAAACCCUUAUCCAGCCAUCCCGCGUGCACGAUGAAGGCCUUCGGGUUUUAAUGUUCUAUUGGCUGUGAAGAAAAGGUAUUUUCCUAUAUUGGAUACUGCUGAAGGUAUCUGAAGAAUAAUCACCGGCUAACUACGUGCCAGCAGCCGCGGUACUACGUAGGGUGCAAGCGUUAAUCGGAAUUACUGGGCGUAAAGCGUGUGUAGGCGGUUCGGAAAGAAAGAUGUGAAAUCCCAGGGCUCAACCUUGAAACUACAUUUUUAACUGCCGAGCUAGAGUAUGUCAGAGGGGGGUAGAAUUCCACGUGUAGCAGUGAAAUGCGUAGAUAUGUGGGGGAAUACCGAUGGCGAAGGCAGCCCCCUGGGAUAAUACUGACGCUCAGACACGAAAGCGUGGGGAGCAAACAGG
rnacentral:rRNA from 1 species